GUUCUCAGCUUUGCAAGUGUUGGUCCAACUGUGUGAGAAUAAUAACCUAAAGUUUCGAGCAAACUCCAUCAAGCUGUUCUGUUGCAUGGUAGAUGGUGUAGAUGAACCCAUUCUGCGAAUGGUUUCCGUUUGUGGGUCACUGGUUCAAGAACUUGUGUUGCAGAUGCCGACUCUACAAUAAUCAGUAGAUGACAUUACUCCAAUCACUGUUGGAUGGAAAAUCAAAAUGACAGUUCAACAUAAAUUUCCACCACGAACAAGUAUGAAUUCGCCAGUCCAAUAUCAAAAGCUAUUUUUAUUAGAUCCAAAGGAAACGAGAGUCGAUGCAGUAAUUUUUGGUGAAGAUAUUGAAGCUUUGGAAGACAAUUUGCAUGUUUUGGAAGACACUUUGCAUGUGUUACACUCUUACUACAUCGGUGAUGCUCGUGUCAACAAGACACCUGCAAAAUACCUUAAAAAUGACACAAAUUACAAUUAUAGCUGGACGCUGAACUCAAAAACACAAGUUGUUGAAGUCCUAAAAAAAGGCAAACAAAUUUCUUAACCAAUCCAUGAAUUUGUUUCGUUUAAGAACUUGUCAUCUGACAAAUACUCCAACAAACCACAAGGUAUUUUCGGAUCUCUACAAGAUAGCACAUAACAAAUAAUUUAUAAAAUUUUAACUAACAUUGCAUUCAAUUUUCAAAUAUCAUAGGUUUAGCUGUCAAAAUAAACCCAACAAAAGUGGUCAACAUAGUUUAUGGACAGCAGACCAUACAAGAAUUAUAUCUAAUCGAUAACAGGUAUAUAAAAUAUAAAAUAUAACAUCUAAAUACAUAAUGAUCAUCUUCAUUAUAACACACCUAAUAAUUUAUUAUGAAUUUAAAUUGAUUAUACAUAGCAAAAUAAUAAGCCAUUUCUCUUUUCAGUCAAAGUUGUAGCUUCAACCCAACAUGUUUGACUUUUUGGGGUGCUUUGGUCCAAAAUAAUAGUGAACAACUAUUUGAAGUUGUCGGAACCAACCCAAUAAUAAUAGAAACAAAACUGAUUGUUCAAACUAAAAGAGGUACUUAUAUACUAACAAACACCGUAUAUUGUUAACAAUAUUGUCCACUAAUAUUGGAUUAAAAUAUUAUUUUUAAAUAGGAUUGCCGUUGUCAAAUCGUGAAUCAAGUACUAUCGAAAUCAAUCCAGAUAAUCCUAAAGCAACAACACUACAUGAAUGGUAAUACUCAUGCAUAAAAUAAUAAGAUUUCAUUUAAUAAUAUUUUUAAGCGAAUACUAUUGAAUGACAAUUACUUUAUUAACUAAUUUAACAUUAAAUUUAUACUAUCAAGGGCUGAAAAUAACAAAGAAGCAAUAAAUAAUAUUACUAUUCAAACACUGUUUUAUCCAUAUUUUCCAAAUUCAUUUGCCGCAAAAUGAGAAUAUGUAAAGAACAACGAAAUUACCGAUUUUAUGAAGAAACUUAAUCCAGCCCAUGUAUAUAAACUUAAAUAAAUAUCGUUGAUUUUUUUUAAUUGAUAUAAUAUUGAAUUUUUUUAACAUACAUAGCUCAUUUUUUUUUUUUUGCAAAAAACAUACUAUUGGAUUGAAGCUAAAAUGAUAUUAAAAAUCUCGUCAAGCUUUCUAUUACAUGUCAUGUGAUUCAUGUAAUACGAAAAUUGUAUUCUACAACGACAAUGGAGAAACUGAUCAUGAGAAUCCAAAGUGCAAAAAAAGAAGUCUCCUUACACCACGAUAAAUACAUUAUAUUUAAAUUGACAUUUGAACUUAAUUUACAUUCAUACCAACGUCAAUAUAUUAUGUAUGGAUCAUUAGUGUAAAAACAUAUGUACAACUUGAUGAUGGUACCAAAAUACUAGAUGUUGUGAUGUUCAGAGAUUUUGCAGAAAAUAUAUUGUCAUGUACUGUAGUUCAAUUAAAGUCGUAUUCAGAUGAGGUAUAUUUUUACAUUUAAAAUAUCAUGUAUUUAUAUAUGUAAUAUAUUUCCUGCAAUUACAAGCAUAUUGAAAUUUAUUUCAAUAAUCAUAAAAGUAGUAUCAAAAUUAAAUUUUGCAGAAAUAUCGCUUGUUCCUCCGAAAACCCAUAGAGAAAUUAUCAGCCAAUAAAUAUAGAAUCCAAUUGUAUAUAGAUCCAAAAUGACAGAUGAGUCCAAAGUACAAUCAAUUCACUAAUCAAACUGCUGAGUCGAAUGAAGAUUGAGAUAAAGUUUCACUAUGCUUAGUUUUAUUUUUCAUAGAGUUUUCUAUAUUAAUAAUUCUUUUCCUCUAUUUUAAGAUGACACUUUUUCAUUCAUUUUCGCUACAUAAUAUUUCUUUUAAAUUUUACAAAACAUAUAUAUUGAUCUUUUUAAUUUUCCUAAAACAAAAAAUAAAUGUUAAAAUCAUAUGUUGUUAUGACUUAUCAUAAAUUAUUUCAUUACAUUAAGGGGCUGUUUGGAAUUCAUUAAUGUUAGGGGGGAUAAGUAAUCUUAAUGAUUACCCUGUUUGUUAUGAAGUUUUAUAUUUUUUAAGCCCUUUAAUGCUUUUACAAUAGGAUUCCAGCUACCCUGAAAAGGUAUAAUAUUGACCCCUUUAAAAAAAUGUGGGACUCAAAUAUUCCCUCAGUUAUAUUAACGUAAGAUUAAGAUUUUUAUUAAAUAAAAAAUCAAAUAUUAAAUCUGAAUAAAACAAAAUACGACCCGUAAAAUAAUUAUAUAUUGCUCUUUCUUCCGCCAUUACUAUUAUCCAUCAUCUUCUUCUCCUUACUCAUUCAAACAAUAAUAAAUUAGCACAUC